AGAGUUUGAUCCUGGCUCAGGACGAACGCUGGCGGCGUGCCUAAUACAUGCAAGUCGAACGGUCUUUUCUAUGGAAGCUUGCUUCCACUGAGAAGAUAGUGGCGAACGGGUGAGUAACACGUGGGUAACCUGCCCAUAAGAGGGGGAUAACAUCCGGAAACGGGUGCUAAUACCGCAUAGUUUUCUUGAUCGCAUGAUCGAGAAAGGAAAGACGGCCUUUGUGCUGUCGCUUAUGGAUGGACCCGCGGCGUAUUAGUUAGUUGGUGAGGUAACGGCUCACCAAGACGAUGAUACGUAGCCGACCUGAGAGGGUGAUCGGCCACAUUGGGACUGAGACACGGCCCAAACUCCUACGGGAGGCAGCAGUAGGGAAUCUUCCGCAAUGGACGAAAGUCUGACGGAGCAACGCCGCGUGAGUGAAGAAGGUUUUCGGAUCGUAAAACUCUGUUGUCAGAGAAGAACAAGUUGGAGAGUAACUGCUCCAGCCUUGACGGUAUCUGACCAGAAAGCCACGGCUAACUACGUGCCAGCAGCCGCGGUAAUACGUAGGUGGCAAGCGUUGUCCGGAUUUAUUGGGCGUAAAGCGAGCGCAGGCGGUUCCUUAAGUCUGAUGUGAAAGCCCACGGCUCAACCGUGGAAGGUCAUUGGAAACUGGGGAACUUGAGUGCAGAAGAGGAGAGUGGAAUUCCAUGUGUAGCGGUGAAAUGCGUAGAUAUAUGGAGGAACACCAGUGGCGAAGGCGACUCUCUGGUCUGUAACUGACGCUGAGGCUCGAAAGCGUGGGGAGCAAACAGGAUUAGAUACCCUGGUAGUCCACGCCGUAAACGAUGAGUGCUAAGUGUUGGAGGGUUUCCGCCCUUCAGUGCUGCAGCUAACGCAUUAAGCACUCCGCCUGGGGAGUACGGUCGCAAGACUGAAACUCAAAGGAAUUGACGGG
rnacentral:rRNA from 1 species